GAUGAAGAACGGAGCGAAAUGCGAUAAGUAAUGUGAAUUGCAGAAUUCAGUGAAUCAUCGAAUCUUUGAACGCACAUUGCGCCCCUUGGUAUUCCGAGGGGCAUGCCUGUUCGAGCGUCAUUAUAACCCCUCAAGCUCAGCUUGGUGUUGGGGCCUGCUGCACUGGCAGCCCUUAAAAUCAGUGGCGGCGCCAUCUGGCUCUAAGCGUAGUAAUUCUUCUCGCUAUGGAGUCCUGGUGGAUGCUUGCCAUCAACCCCCAAUUUUUCUAUGGUUGACCUCGGAUCAGCUAGGGAUACCCGCUGAACUUAAGCAUAUCAAUAAGCGGAGA
rnacentral:misc_RNA from 1 species